rnacentral:rRNA from 1 species
UACGUAGGGACCGAGCGUUGUCCGGAAUCAUUGGGCGUAAAGAGCGUGUAGGCGGCCACUUAAGUCCUGCGUGAAAUCUUGCGGCUCAACCGCAAGCGGUCGUGGGAAACUGGGUGGCUAGAGUGCGGGAGAGGAGAGUGGAAUUCCUGGUGUAGCGGUGGAAUGCGCAGAUAUCAGGAAGAACACCCGUGGCGAAGGCGGCUCUCUGGAACGCAACUGACGCGGAGACGCGAAAGCGUGGGGAGCAAACAGG